GCUGUAGCUCAGUGGUAGAGCAUCUGCUUUGCAUGCAGAAGGUCCCAGGUUCAAUCCCUGACAUCUCCA